rnacentral:rRNA from 1 species
UACGAAGGGGGCUAGCGUUGUUCGGAUUUACUGGGCGUAAAGCGCACGUAGGCGGAUCGAUCAGUCAGGGGUGAAAUCCCAGAGCUCAACUCUGGAACUGCCUUUGAUACUGUCGAUCUGGAGUAUGGAAGAGGUGAGUGGAAUUCCGAGUGUAGAGGUGAAAUUCGUAGAUAUUCGGAGGACACCAGUGGCGAAGGCGGCUCACUGGUCCAUUACUGACGCUGAGGUGCGAAAGCGUGGGGAGCAAACAGG